rnacentral:misc_RNA from 1 species
UUUCCGUAGGUGAACCUGCGGAAGGAUCAUUCAUAAUAAGUGUUUUAUGGCACUUUUUUAAAUCCAUAUCCACCUUGUGUGCAAUGUCAGGGUUGAUUUUUCUCUCGAGAGGAUCAACCCCAAACAUCAACUAUAUCUCAACUCCUUGUCUGAAAAAUAUUAUGAAUAAAACAAUUCAAAAUACAACUUUCAACAACGGAUCUCUUGGCUCUC